rnacentral:rRNA from 1 species
CCUACGGGUGGCAGCAGUGGGGAAUAUUGGACAAUGGGCGAAAGCCUGAUCCAGCCAUGCCGCGUGUGUGAAGAAGGCCUUCGGGUUGUAAAGCACUUUCAGUGGGGAAGAAAGCCUUGGGGCUAAUACCCUCGAGGAAGGACAUCACCCACAGAAGAAGCACCGGCUAACUCCGUGCCAGCAGCCGCGGUAAUACGGAGGGUGCGAGCGUUAAUCGGAAUUACUGGGCGUAAAGCGCGCGUAGGCGGUCUGAUAAGCCGGUUGUGAAAGCCCCGGGCUCAACCUGGGAACGGCAUCCGGAACUGUCAAGCUAGAGUGCAGGAGAGGAAGGUAGAAUUCCCGGUGUAGCGGUGAAAUGCGUAGAGAUCGGGAGGAAUACCAGUGGCGAAGGCGGCCUUCUGGACUGACACUGACGCUGAGGUGCGAAAGCGUGGGUAGCAAACAGGAUUAGAUCCCCGUGUAGUC